rnacentral:misc_RNA from 1 species
GAUGAAGAACGUAGCGAAAUACGAUAAGUAGUGUGAAUUGCAGAAUUCAGUGAAUCAUCGAAUCUUUGAACGCACAUUGCGCCCCUUGGUAUUCCAUGGGGCAUGCCUGUUCGAGCGUCAUUUGUACCUUCAAGCUUUGCUUGGUGUUGGGUGUUUGUCUCGCCUCUGCGUGUAGACUCGCCUUAAAACAAUUGGCAGCCGGCGUAUUGAUUUCGGAGCGCAGUACAUCUCGCGCUUUGCACUCAUAACGACGACGUCCAAAAGUACAUUUUUACACUCUUGACCUCGGAUCAGGUAGGGAUACCCGCUGAACUUAAGCAUAUCAAUAAGCGGAGGA